rnacentral:rRNA from 1 species
UACGAAGGGGGCUAGCGUUGUUCGGAAUUACUGGGCUUAAAGAGUCCGUAGGCGGCGCAGAAAGUAGGGUGUGAAAGCCCUCGGCUCAACCGAGGAAUUGCGCUCUAAACUACUGUGCUUGAGGAACCUAGAGGUGAGCGGAACUGAUGGUGGAGCGGUGAAAUGCGUUGAUAUCAUCAGGAACACCGGAGGCGAAGGCGGCUCACUGGGGGUUUUCUGACGCUGAGGGACGAAAGCCAGGGGAGCGAACGGG